rnacentral:lncRNA from 1 species
UGUGAUUCUCCUGCUUCAGUCUCCUAAUAGCUGGGAUUGCACCAAACACAUACUCUCCCAUAAAUUUUAAAUAAUUUCUUGAUGAUUUGUAAUACUUAAUGCCAUAUGAAUGCUAGGUGAAUAGUUGUACCAUAUUGUUUAGGGAAUGAGAAGGAAAAGGGUCCGUAGGUGCCGGAUACUGUUUUUUUUCCAAAUAGUUUUCAUAAGGGGUUAGUUGAAUCUGUGGCUGUAGAAACUGUGGAUAGGGAAGACUGCCUAUAAAUAUCUGAAUUACAAAACGUGACUUGGGGGCUGGGGAUGUGGCUCAGUGGCAGAGAGCUUGCCUAGCACAUGUGAGGCACUGGGUUCCAUCGUCAGCACCACAUAAAAAUACAUAAAUAAAAUAAAGGUUAAAAAUCCACAUAAUAUUUAAAAGCAACAAACUUGGGCGGUGUUUUGGUCAGCUCUCUGCUCCCAUGGGCUUGGCUGUAGCUCUCACAACCGGCCCAGGCUGGCUCUCAGAUUUUCUGAAUUCUACCUGAAGCUGCCAAACACCAAAAUAGCUUCGGAGCAUGUGAUCUCAAGCCCGAGCUCGCAAAUAAAGCCCCGGGGCAGUCCAGAGAAUUCUGCCCUGGAUGUUGGAAGGGUGCAGGGGGGAGCCAGUCCUCGCCCAGAGUCCUGGUGAAUGGGGGCGGAGUCAAGGCCUUUGGAAUGAGAAGCCAGAGAUCCAAGUCCAAGGUCCAGCCCUGUCUCCGAGGACUUGGCCAGAAACUCAAGCUGUACUUUUCUGGCUGUUUUUGGAGGAAAUCUGCACGUCGGCAGGGCACUUACCCUGCGCUAGGGGAUGCUGUGGGUACCAGGUCGCAGCUCUAACAGAUACUUCCUGCUCUGGAAGGUCUAAUCCCUUUGUCAAUGGAAAUGAGGAGUUAAAUAGAAAGGCAGAGAGGAGAAAGCGAUGACUUCUGAGCUUCACCGCUAACAAAGAGAUGGAACCAGGAAAUGAGAAGGACCCUCGGUGUGGGUGGGGUAAUUUCAGCUUGGGUGGGAAAGAACCCUUGCAGGAGGUGACAGGGAGAUAGGUGACCUUCAGAGGAGGUAACCACCAGGGACAAGGUGGGGAGGGCCCUAGGGAGGGAGAAGAUCGGAAAUGAGGUGUGAAGGAGGAGGAACAGUCCGGUUGCAGGUACCUGGGGGCUGUUCCAGGCAGAGGGAACAGUGUUAGGCCUUGGGAGGCAGCUGGGCUCAGAGACAGCGUGGGGGAGACUGAGGGCUCUGAGGCCACAUUAGCUUCCUUAGCAACAGCCCAAUGUAGUCAGUGCUUUUCCUCUUUAAUUCCGCUCUUCCCCUCAACUUCCUGGCCUGAAUGCAGCUUCUGUGACCCCUUCCAAGUUCGAGAAGUGGCCCAGGGCAAAUGGUCUGGAGCUGUGCCUUGGUUUCCCCAUGUGCAAAACGCUGUGAAUAAGCGGGUGGUGAACCGUCCCCGGUUGGUUCUUCCUGCUCCCAAUUUUUGGCAGUAGGCUUACAGUAGGCGCUUAAUGUAUACUUGCAGUACAAACGACCUGCGAGUCCGCGGCGCCAGGCUCUUAGACCGACAGCUGCCACAACCCGCGGGGCGGACUAGCCCGCUGGCAGGUAGGGACCGGCUGGUGAGCGCUGGGCGGGCGCCCUGGGGCGCAGCCAAGGGUGGAGGCGUGCAGGCUGCGCAAGCGACGUCUGGCGCCCGGGGGCGCGCACGCCGAUC